rnacentral:lncRNA from 1 species
GUGUGUGUGUGUGUGUGUGUGUGUGUGUGUGUGUGGAAUAUGUGUCUGUAAGUGUACAGUGUGUGUGCUGGUGCAGGGGGUUCAGACUGGGGAUCAGAUGAGCACAAAACAAGAUAUGUAAUGCUCAAUGAUGAAUUGAUUAGAGAAAGAGGGGGUGUGUUUAACAGUAGAGAGUGUAGGAAAUGAUAGUAGUAGAUGGUAGUAGUAGACGAUAGUAGUAGGUGAUAGUAGCAGGUGACAGUAGUAGAUGAUAGUAGUCGGUGAUAGUAGUAGAUGAUAGUAGUAGAUGAUAGUAGUAGGUGAUAGUAGUAGGUGAUAGUAGCAGGUGAUAGUAGUAGAUGAUAGUAGUAGAUGAUAGUAGUCGGUGAUAGUAGUAGAUGAUAGUAGUAGAUGAUAGUAGUAGAUGAUGGCAGUAGAUGAUAGUAGUCGGUGAUAGUAGUAGAUGAUAGUAGUAGACGAUGGUAGUAGAUGAUAGUAGUAGACGAUAGUAGUAGGUGAUAGUAGUAGAUGAUAGUAGUGGGUGAUAGUUGUAAGUGAUAGUAGUAGAUGACAGUAGUAGGUGAUAGUAGUAGGUGUUAGUAGUAGAUGAUAGUUGUCGGUGAUAGUAGUAGAUGAUGGUAGUAGAUGAUAGUAGUAGGUGAUAGUAGUAGAUGAUAGUAGUAGAUGGUAGUAGUAUAUGAUAGCAGUAGGUGAUAGUAGUAGGUGAUAGUAGUAGGUGAUAGUAGUAGGUGAUAGUUUUAGGUGAUAGUAGUAGGUGAUAGUAGUAGAUGAUAGUAGUCGGUGAUAGUAGUAGAUGAUAGUAGUAGACGAUGGUAGUAGAUGAUAGUAGUAGACGAUAGUAGUAGGUGAUAGUAGUAGAUGAUAGUAGUGGGUGAUAGUUGUAAGUGAUAGUAGUAGAUGACAGUAGUAGGUGAUAGUAGUAGGUGUUAGUAGUAGGUGAUAGUAGUUGACGAUAGUAGUAGAUGAUAGUAGUAGACGAUAGUAGUAUGUGAUAGUAGUAGGUGAUAGUAGUAGAUGAUAGUAGUAGGUGAUAGUAGUAGGUGAGAGUAGUAGAUGAUAGUAGUAGACGAUAGUAGUAGAUGAUAGUAGUAGGUGAUAGUAGUAGAUGACAGUAGUAGAUUAUAGUAGUCGUGAUAGUAGAAAGUGAUAGUUGUAGGUGAUAGUAGUAGGUGUUAGAAGUAGGUGAUAAUAGUAGAUGAUAGUAGUAGAUGAUAGUAGUAGGUGAUAAUAGUAGAUGGUAGUAGUAGAUGAUACUAGUAGAUGAUAGUAGUAGUUUAUAGUAGUCGGUGAUAGUAGUAGAUGAUAUGAGUAGAUGAUAGUAGUAGAUGAUAGUAGUAGGUGAUAGUAGUAGGUGAUAGUAGUAGGUGAUAGUUUUAGGUGAUAGUAGUAGGUGAUUGUAGCAGAUGAUAGUAGUAGGUGAUAGUAGUAGGUGAUAGUAGUUGACGAUAGUAGUAGAUGAUAGUAGUAGACGAUAAUAGUAUGUGAUAGUAGUAGGUGAUAGUAGUAGAUGAUAGUAGUAGGUGAUAGUAGUAGGUGAGAGUAGUAGAUGAUAGUAGUAGACGAUAGUAGUAUGUGAUAGUAGUAGGUGAUAGUAGUAGAUGAUAGUAGUAGGUGAUAGUAGUAGGUGAGAGUAGUAGAUGAUAGUAGUAGACGAUAGUAGUAGAUGAUAGUAGUAGACGAUAGUAGUAGGUGAUAGUAGUAGGUGAUAGUAGUAGAUGAUAGUACUAGAUGAUAGUAGUAGAUGAUAGCAGUAGAUGAUAGUAGUAAGUGAUAGUAGUAGAUGAUAGUAGUAAGUGAUAGUAGUAGAUGAUAGUAGUGGGUGAUAGUAGUAGGUGAUAGUAGAAGAUGAUAGUAGUGGGUGAUAGUAGUAGAUGAUAGCAGUAGAUGAUAGUAGUAAGUGAUAGUAGUAGAUGAUAGUAGU